CAAUCAACACCCAAGACAAUGAAUGCUGAGAACCUAGAUGACAAAUAUAGUAGUCAUGCCUUCUCAAUACACCGACACAUUUUUGUAGAAACAUAGAUGACCAAUAUAGUAAAGUGAUUGUUCUUUUACAACAAAAUUAAACCUAUAUUUGAAUUGGUUUGAUAAAUAUUGCAAUAAUAGGGCACUCCUCUUGUCGAUGGUAAAAGGAUAAAUAUUGCAAUCAUCAAUAGCCCACGCCUCCUGUCGAUGCUAAAAGGGAGUAACACAUGACAUGAUCACAUUGUAUUAUGCACAUUGGCCGUGAAAUGCUGCAACAUAUACAUAGAAGCAAGCAACCUCGAGUGUACAAUGUCAAAUGAAUCCUUGUGCCAAAAAAAGAGGUAGUAUAAAGUGAAUGUAGUUGUUAAAAACCUUGAAGAGCAAACUAUUAUACAAAUUGACGUCGGUUCGAGACUUGUCAAGGUUCAUCACUAUAGAAAUACAAGAUGGUUUUGCGAACUAUUGCUACUAGCCAAACAACAAGGCCUACAAUAUUUAUUUGGGAACUUCUACGGUACACUCACAAAGUGAGAUGUACCGGUACUCUCGCUUCAUACUUUUACAAAUUAACG
rnacentral:lncRNA from 1 species